AGAGUUUGAUCCUGGCUCAGGACGAACGCUGGCGGCGCGCCUAACACAUGCAAGUCGAACGGAGCUGAGAGGAGCUUGCUUUUCUUAGCUUAGUGGCGAACGGGUGAGUAACGCGUGAGUAACCUGCCCUGGAGUGGGGGACAACAGUUGGAAACGACUGCUAAUACCGCAUAAGCCCACGGCCCGGCAUCGGGCUGAGGGAAAAGGAUUUAUUCGCUUCAGGAUGGACUCGCGUCCAAUUAGCUAGUUGGUGAGGUAACGGCCCACCAAGGCGACGAUUGGUAGCCGGACUGAGAGGUUGAACGGCCACAUUGGGACUGAGACACGGCCCAGACUCCUACGGGAGGCAGCAGUGGGGGAUAUUGCACAAUGGGGGAAACCCUGAUGCAGCGACGCCGCGUGGAGGAAGAAGGUUUUCGGAUUGUAAACUCCUGUCGUUAGGGACGAUAAUGACGGUACCUAACAAGAAAGCACCGGCUAACUACGUGCCAGCAGCCGCGGUAAAACGUAGGGUGCAAGCGUUGUCCGGAAUUACUGGGUGUAAAGGGAGCGCAGGCGGGAAGACAAGUUGGAAGUGAAAACCAUGGGCUCAACCCAUGAAUUGCUUUCAAAACUGUUUUUCUUGAGUAGUGCAGAGGUAGAUGGAAUUCCCGGUGUAGCGGUGGAAUGCGUAGAUAUCGGGAGGAACACCAGUGGCGAAGGCGGUCUACUGGGCACCAACUGACGCUGAGGCUCGAAAGCAUGGGUAGCAAACAGGAUUAGAUACCCUGGUAGUCCAUGCCGUAAACGAUGAUUACAUAGGUGUUGGGGGAUUGACCCCCUCAGUGCCGCAGUUAACACAAUAAGUAAUCCACCUGGGGAGUACGACCGCAAGGUUGAAACUCAAAGGAAUUGACGGGGGCCCGCACAAGCAGUGGAGUAUGUGGUUUAAUUCGAAGCAACGCGAAGAACCUUACCAGGUCUUGACAUCCGAUGCAUAACACAGAGAUGUGUGAAAUCCUUCGGGACAUCGAGACAGGUGGUGCAUGGUUGUCGUCAGCUCGUGUCGUGAGAUGUUGGGUUAAGUCCCGCAACGAGCGCAACCCUUAUUGCCAGUUACUACGUUAAGAGGACUCUGGCGAGACUGCCGUUGACAAAACGGAGGAAGGUGGGGAUGACGUCAAAUCAUCAUGCCCUUUAUGACCUGGGCUACACACGUACUACAAUGGCGUUAAACAAAGAGAAGCAAGACCGCGAGGUGGAGCAAAACUCAAAAACAACGUCUCAGUUCAGAUUGCAGGCUGCAACUCGCCUGCAUGAAGUCGGAAUUGCUAGUAAUCGCGGAUCAGCAUGCCGCGGUGAAUACGAAACCGGGCCUUGCACACACCGCCCGUCA
rnacentral:rRNA from 1 species